AGGAGCCAGUCCCUGCCCUCCAGAAACUGUGUGUCUGGGGGAGAAGAUCACACACAGGAAAAUCAAGUGGUGACAAGAGGUGCCAUGAGACAGUAUAUAGUUCAUUUCCCCACCGCAAGAGUAAAGGGCUUAGGGUCAGAGGCUUUGGUGCCUGAGUUCUGACUCUGCCAAUUAUUAGCAUUGGGACCUCAGACUCAGCUGGCAGAGAGGAGAAGCAGCGGGACAUCAGGACUAUGGCUGGACGUCAGAGAGAAGCAGCUUAACUUCAGAGGUGCAGCUUGAUGGUGUAACUUAGGAGAAGAAUCUGACUGGAGACGGCCAGACUUCAGAAGAAGAUGACCUACCCCCCCAUCCCCUUUUCAGCUUCCCUUCCCGCUGAGAGCCACUUUUAUUGGCAAUAAAAUCCUCCACAUUUACCACCUUU
ensembl:lncRNA novel transcript